rnacentral:lncRNA from 1 species
CCUUCUCUUGCUUAAUAGAUGCCCCAAGAUUUAAUGAGCACCUACCAAUCAAUAAACCUAGUGUAAUCACACAAGUAGAGUCUAGAGAGUGUGGUGAUGUUAGAGUGCAACAAUGAUAUUAGGAAGAACAAGUCUGAUAAUUAUGUUACUUUCAAGGAGAAGACAAUAAAUCCAAAGAAGUAUUAUGUAAAGCCCAACACUGGAAUUUUCAUACCUCAGUCUUCCAACGAUGUCAUAAUUACAAUGCAAUGGCAUAAAGAGGCACCACUAUACAUGCAAUUCAAGGAUAAAUUCCUGCUUCAAAGUGUUGUUGCAGGCCCUUGAACUACUGCAAAGUACAUUACUCCCGAGAUGUUCAAUAAGGAGCCGGGGAAUUAUGUGGAGGACUGCAAGUUGAAAGUUGUUUAUGUUCCUCCUCAAGUGCAAUUACAUGUAAAGGAGGGGUCUGAGGAAGGUUCUUCUCCUAGGGCUUUAGUAUUCAAAAUUAGAACUGUAAAUAUAUCGAAGCUCAAUAAUAUAUCAAGGUCAUAUAAUGAGUAUAAAGACAACUUGUUGAAGACAAAGGCACAAAUUUCAAAGCUAACAGGUGAGAAAUUUUUUGUUAUGCAACAAAAUGAAAAGCUUCAGCAAGAAUUGGAACUCUUGAGAUGGGAACAUAACAACAGUCGUGGUGGUAUCCCAUCUAUAUAUGUUCUCACUAUUGCAUUUCUGGAAAUCCUUUUGGUCUAUAUUCUAAAAACAUAUAUCUGUAGCCCAAAUACUGAUAGCAUGUGCAUAUAUUGUCCCCCUCCCCGAAAUCCAACAUACCACCAAAAACCUUUCCGUUUCCUCUUCAUAAUAACCAGCAAAGAAAAGUUCUUCUCCGUCUAUAUUGUUUUCAGUUUGGGGGAGAGCCGAGACAGACACAGGUAGCUGCAAUUAUGAUAAGCUAGAUAAUAAAAACAGACACAAUUCAAUGGUCGAAUGUUGUCCUUUUUUAUAUCUAUAUAAGGCUAUCCCUUUCUCUAAAUUCUCUAGUCUACCUGACUAUAUAUAACAUUCCAUAUCUGGAGUUCGAAAAAGAAGUCCAUGCAUUCUCUGCAUUAUCUUCAAUUUCUAUUUCCCAAGAUAAAAGGUCUAACACUUAAAAGCUGUUACAUUUCAUUUUUUCAAUCGUUAAAAAGUAAUUUUACUUAUGACUAGCAACAAGAGAAUGCUGGACGGUAUUUACAAGGAUAGCAUCAUCCUAUAUGACCUGUGAUAGAGAGAUUGUUUUCGUCCUAAACUUAAAGUAAGGUGUUUUAUGUUGUUUGUGUUAUGAUAUCACAAGAAAGAGUUUGUGAGAAUUAAAGAUCAAGGGCCUUCUUAAGAAAAGCAACAUCAGAGGCAUUUAUAGUUAUAUGGAAAGACUCAUGCUCUUUGAGUAAUUCUACAGAAAUCCUUACACAUUCUUGCUAUAUUCUCAAUGCUCCAGUUGUUUAAAAAUUUUUAGAACCUUGAGUCAAUUAGUUUUCUGGUUGACUUAAAUGUGUGCAAGUUAGUUUCAUUAGCUUUAUAAUGGUCUUGUGCUUGAAGUAAUCAUCAUAUGAACAGCUGGUUCGACAUCCUCUUUUUUUAAACUCGAGACGACAACAUUAGUUUAUUGAUCAAGUGUAUUUCCUCAUUUAUGAAUACAACCAAGUGUUGGAUAAUAUUGAUAAGUAAUUAUAGUAGAUUUAUUUUAUUGUCAUGAUGAAUUCAAAAAAUAGAAACACACUACUGGCACUCACUUGUCCCUUGGCAAUGUCUUCUUAACUUCUUGUCUUCCUCUGUUUCCUGAUAUCUUUUUCACUCAUUUAUCUGAUUUCCUGGUACUCCAAUAACUCUUUUGGAAGUUGUUCAGUUUCUUCCUCCUCACAUUCCUCUUUACCACACUCAUCCUCUUCUUGAUCUUCACCUUCCUCCUCAUAUUCAUCCAAAUAUUUAUACUCCUGAAUGAACACAACGAAAUUGUCAUAGCAAAAUAAAAGAUGAAAGAUCCGAAAAAAUUACAGAGAUCAUAGGUUACAUCUCUUUCAUAUUCGCGCAUAGUUGUUCUGGAGUAGGAAACCAAAUUCUCAAUGAUAAUCUUCAAUUGCUAAAGUGGAGAAGAGAACUAGUAAGCUUUGUGCCUACCAUUAAUUAUUUUAUACAUGAAAAAAUUACUUUACCACUCUAUAAAUGGACACUAGAUCCGUAUCUUCACUUAAUAAAAUUAAAACCAAGGAAAUGAAUUCGACCAAACCACACAAGAUUCCCCAAAAACCAAAAAAAUAGUUUCUUCUUAUAAGAGAUUUUAUUUGGUUAAAAUUUAUCAAAUAAGAUGUGAUCUCUACUUUAAAGGUUUUGCAAAUAUACACUAGUUAUUUUUAGAUAUCAAUCAUAAAUACGUAAACUAUCAAUAAACCAACUAUGAAACUAGUUAUUUUUUCCUACAAAUGUGUAUAUUUUAACCAUGAAGAAACAUGUAAUCUUAUACUCUUUCAUAGAACACAUGAACAUGUAAUUUUAACCUGGAAGAAACAUGAUUCUUGAACAAGGAACAUUAAUUAUCACCAUACGUAAUAAAGGAAGACAAUUUGAUAAUGUUACUGCUAAAUGCAAGUGUUCAUAAGCUUGCAAGAAAUAAAAACAUACACAAAGACAAGAAAAAGUAAAUAGCAAUAAGAAAGGCUAGAAAAUAAGAGUUCACUACUGUAGUUAAAACACUAGGUUAGAUCCUUAAAUUUCUAAAUAAUUCUUUUACCUCAUAUUGUGAUUUUCGAAUCUGUUUGUGUAUAUAAUCUCAUAUAUAACUUUUCUUUAACUUCUAUUGAUUAAAUAACAGUUUGUGGGCUAAUUUUAUUUCUAAAAUCAUAUCCUAGUGACCUCUAUUAAAACACAAUCAGAAUUGAAUAAACAAUCCUAAUUACCUCUGUUAGUUUUCAUUGUUUUUCCCAUUCAACAGUUUUUUUGUGGAGAACUGCAACUUUUUUGAGCAAGCUCCCACAAUAUUCUUGAUAAUGUUGAACCCCACCUCACUAAACUUAUAAAGCUCAAAUAAAUCACUUACCAAUAUGUAUAGAUAAUAAUGCUAUAACAUGUGGAGAACAUAUAAUAACACUAUAACUACUAAAGUGCCGAACAUUCAAUAACAACAUAAAUAAAAAAAUGAGUAGAGGAAAUCUUCUAUUGUUUAAUCCCUCUGAAACACUAAACAUGUGUACCCAUUUCAAUAUGAAUAUCAUGAUCUCAGAGAUAACCCUAACUCAUAAAAAAAUUCGUUUUUGAAGAAUAAAGAUCUUAAUAGCAAAGAUAACCCUAAUUCAGGAAUUCAUACCUUUAGAAAAUAAGAAACAUCAUCUAAAAUAAUUUUAAUAUGGAAUAUCACUUACUCCUCUUGAAAGAUCAACGAGUAACAAAACUAUGAGGCAAAAACACAAAAUAGAAAGAAAAAUUUGAAGUAGACAUAAACAAAAGAUCUAACCGAACAAAGAGAUUCGAAGAGAUCAAUGGUGUAUGUACAUAGCUCCAAAUUCGACCAUGAAAAUUCUAUGAGAAAGACCAGAAGUAGAAGGGGUGAUGCCGGCAUGAGGAAAUAGAGGUUUUUGGAGAACCUCGGAGGAGCGUUGUGUAUGUGGAAAACCUCAGAGGAGAGUUGUUGAAAUUGCUAUCUGAGAGGUGGUGUUAAUUUUAGGGGUUUUGAGACAUUGAUGUAGGUUUCACGCUUCAAGUUUAUCUUUAGCUUUUUUC